UACGUAGGGGGCAAGCGUUGUCCGGAUUUAUUGGGCGUAAAGAGCUCGUAGGCGGUUCGGUAAGUCGGGUGUUAAACCCCCAGGCUCAACCUGGGGACGCCACUCGAUACUGCUGUGACUAGAGUCCGGUAGGGGAGCGUGGAAUUCCUGGUGUAGCGGUGAAAUGCGCAGAUAUCAGGAGGAACACCAGCGGCGAAGGCGGCGCUCUGGGCCGGUACUGACACUGAGGAGCGAAAGCCAGGGGAGCGAACGGG
rnacentral:rRNA from 1 species